GUGAAAACUAAAAGGUUCGACAGAAGACAAACACAGAAGAUUAGCAAGACAAGACUAUGUUGUGAGGUUUGUGAUUGUGUUGUCCCUACUACUGUUUGCACCAUGCCUUUGGUCAGAUGUCAGUUUUUUUGUUUGUUUUUGGAAUCAUGGAGACAGCCUUGGCUGUCCUGGAAUUCUCUCUGUAGACCACGCUGGCAUUUAACUCACAGAGAUCCACUUGCCUCUACCUCCCGAGUGUUGGGAUUAAAGAGACUGGAUUGGAAUUGAACUUGAUCUAGCCAAGGAUGGUUUUGAACUUCCUCUUACUUCCACCUCCCAAGUGCUGAGAUUACAAGUAAACACCACCACGUUCAGUUUUAUGCAGUUCUGGGCUCAAAUCCAGGGCUUUGUGUAAGUUAGGUGGUCUUGCAGUUUCGUGAUUAGACCUACAAAUUCAAUGUCAGCAAGCUGUCUGUAGAUGACUUCCCUGGAUCUUCAUGAAGAAUGACUUGCUCCUCCAAGAAUCUACCUUUCUGAGGCUCAUAGGCUCUGACUGAGCAUAACCAGAGCUUUGGAUGAGCACCCUUCCACAGCUUUCUCAAUGUCACAGCAUCCAUUAGCAUGGCACUGUCUUCUCACC
rnacentral:lncRNA from 1 species